ACGUGGCGCCGUGGCGAGAUCCGGCCGGGCGCCACGUCACUGAAUCCCUCUCCCGGCGCGGCAGAUCUGGCCGGCGUACGGUAGGUGUCGGCCCGCCUCCGAUCCGCCCCAGCGCCCCCGCGGCCAGGCGGGCAGAGGGUUUCGCUCCCCCGGGGCGGCCAGAUCUCGCGCGGCGGCAAGCAGAUCUGGGCCGAUUCCCCGCCUAGAGAGGUCGGAGGGGAUGGCGCUCUCCAGGAUGCGGGGGCUGUCGGUCUUCAUCGGCAACAUCCGCAACUGCCACAACAAGGAGCAGGAGCGCCUCCGCAUCGACAAGGAGCUCCGCAACAUCCGCACCCGCUUCAAGAACAAAAAGAGGAGGAAGCAAACUUGCUGAAGCAUGAAGAGAAACAAGAAAGAUUGAAGUGAAAGGAUUGAUUUCAUUGAUAGUGACUGCAGGUACUUAUAUGUCCUGAGCCGUCGUGUUUACAUGCCGGUUACAAGGUUCGCGUCGUUUCGGAAAGACACGGCGCUGGUUUGGAAAGACAUGACGAUGGUUCGCUAUCUACUGCGUCGGGACAACGCCAGGAUUCUAACCACCGGUUAGAAUAUUCUAAGGAAUCUGAUAAUCACCUAAUUAGCCAAAUACUAAUACUAUUAGAUUCCUAACACUCCCCCUUGGACAGCGUUGUUUUAAUCUUCAGUGUCUUGAGGAUCUACAUAUAUCUUGAGUAUCAAAAGCCUUGCGUCUUCUUGAUAGUCCUUGAUCUUGUAACUUUGAGAAUCUUUAAUCUCGUACUAUUUAUGUCCCUGUAGGAAAUAUAAUAGAAACUAUAGAAAUUUGAUA